AGCAGCCGCGGUAAUUCCAGCUCCAAUAGCGUAUAUUAAAGUUGUUGCAGUUAAAAAGCUCGUAGUUGAAUUUCGGGGUCAGUAGGUCGGUCGUGCCACCGGUACGUACUGGUCUCACUGAUUCCUCCUUCCUGAAGAACCGUAAUGCCAUUAAUUUGGUGUUGCGGGGAAACAGGACUGUUACUUUGAAAAAAUUAGAGUGUUUAAAGCAGGCUAACGCUUGAAUACAUUAGCAUGGAAUAAUGAAAUAGGACGAUCGAUCCUAUUUUGUUGGUUUCUAGGAUUGACGUAAUGAUUAAUAGGGAUAGUUGGGGGCAUUAGUAUUCAAUUGUCAGAGGUGAAAUUCUUGGAUUUAUUGAAGACUAACUACUGCGAAAGCAUUUGCCAAGGAUGUUUUCAUUAAUCAAGAACGAAAGUUAGGGGAUCGAAGACGAUCAGAUACCGUCGUAGUCUUAACCAUAAACUAUGCCGACUAGGGAUCGGAUGAUGUUAAUUUUAUAAUGACUCAUUCGGCGCCUUA
rnacentral:rRNA from 1 species